rnacentral:lncRNA from 1 species
UCUCUAGGGCUUUGGCUAUAGGCACCUUCUUCUCUGGUUGGAGGAGGGCUCUUUUCUUCCAUAGGGCUUCCAUCUUCGGGUGUUGGGCUGCGCUUCCUCGCCUUGGGUGGAGGACUGGGACUAGGACUUGGAUUGGCCUUUAUUGGCUCCGGGCUCCUACUGUAGCUUCUUGAUCGCUUGACCUGGUCGAUUUGUUCUCUUUUUGGUGGAGGGGAUCUUGAUCGACUGAAAGAACAAUGAAGAAGAGCUCAGAAACUUUUCUAAACAUGUGUUUGAACAUAAAUAUUUAGUUGAAGUUGAAACAAAGAAUUUCCUAAAUUUGAAGCUGAAAAGGAUUAUUUGGAAAUUGUAUAUCAGUACUUGCAAAAUAUUGAUGGCCAAACUUUAACUCGCCAAUAGUGACUUAAGAAUUUGCAAGUGAAGUCAAUGGGCAAACACCAGAGCAAAAUAGCAAAUUCCUGAACACAAAUGAAUGCCAUCUAGAACACGUGCAAAACUCACCUAUAGCUGCGACUUCUGCUAUAACUUCGACGAGGAGAACGUGAGCGAGAACGUGACCUAACAGGUGAGCGUGAGUAGCUGCGAUCACGUCUACAACAAUGAACAUCACCAGGUCAAGAAACACAAAAUGAAAAGAUCAGGGGCAGAAAAUAAAGUACUUGCUUCACAGAGGUUUACGUACCUGAGUUUUUUAGGACUAUUUGGGCAUUUCCUUUCUAUAUGACCUCUUUCUCCACACCGAUAACACUUGUUCUUCCAAUCCCCAGCUUUGCAAUCUCGAGCCCAAUGACCUUCAAGACCACAGUUGAAGCAGCGGCCUGACCCAGGAGCGGGUCCUUUGCCAAGAUAUUCACGCGAACCGCCUGGUCCACGUGGCACCUAGAUAAACAAGCAUGAUCCAAAAACUGAAUCAGAUGUAUCAUAGGAAACCAAGUUCAGCAAUUUAUUCAUUAACUAUUCAAGCGACGAUUAAUAGCAUAAUUUGAUGGUGUGUUAAAACAAGAAUUGCCUUCCCCUCUCCUCUUGUUUUUUUUUUNNNNNNNNNNNNNNNNNNNNNNNNNNNNNNNNNNNNNNNNNNNNNNNNNNNNNNNNNNNNNNNNNNNNNNNNNGAGGAGAGCACAAUAACGUUCAGCAUCUAUAUACAGUUCAAUUUACAAGGCGAUAAAGUGCAGUUCAAAGAGAGAGAAAUAAUCGGGGUUAUCUAGCAGCUAUACUGGAGCCCUAUUCACUACUCAAGGACAGAAUUGACAAAGGAAAUUCCACGAUAUACAUGUACAGUAUAUACUUACUCCCUUGGCAAAUUCCACAAUUAUGCGGCGUCCAUCAACGUCACGGCCAUCUAAAUAGUAUCUUGCGUCAUCAGCAUCUCGAGGAUCACUAAAUUCCUGUUGUAACACAUUGUGAAGCAAACAAAAGUUUUUUUCGCAGGGGUUGGUUGGGGGAUCAAAAUGGGAACUAAUGAAAAUUAUUAACAACAUUAUAAAGGGAAAACAGAGAGAUGAUACAUACAACAAAUGCGUAGUCGUGCUUCAUGUCCACAUCCCGUACUCUGCGGAAAUGGUUGCCAGAAACAGUAAGGCCAUCAUUACUUAUAAGCACAGGAAGUUCAUGAAUUUGCCCCUCAAGAUGAACUAUACACCAGUUUGAGAUUGUUGGAAUUCCAUAAAAAUACGCAAAGACAUUAUAGAAAGGACCGCCAAAGUCUCCUAAAACCGGGCAAGACUCCACCAAGGCCAUUAUAGAAAGAAUCACAGAAGUCUCCUAAAACCCGGCAAGACUUUCCAUCAAUUCCACCAAGGCCACCUCUCAAGAUUGACCUUCAGGCCAGGCAAAUGCCUAUAAACCGUCAACAAGAUCAUUCAAGUUAAACUCACAAGCAUUUGGAACACAUUUUCCUUUAUAUAUAAUAAUUGAUAAGAUACCCGAGUAAUAGAUAAGCUUGGAAGGAAAUUCCAACACACAGAUGGAGACUUAAAAAUGUAAACCUCCACCGACUUUCUGAUUUGCUAAACCAACUGUGCAUUUCUAAAGAAUCCCCCACAGAAGAUUAUGAGCAUUUCCAAAAUCAGAACAGAACUUGAACUUUAUGACAAACAAUUAUAAGGGCACACAGAGCAAGCAACUAUGAUCUAGUAUAUCAAGUAAAUUGGUUGAACAGAACAAAAAGGAAGAAUAAAUCUCCCUUCCCAGAUAAAGGAAAAGAAAUAUAUGAAAAAAAAGAGUAGCGCAGAAAUAUUUUCACCAGUGCCUUCUUCCAAUUUUUAUAAGCAUAGGUGAUUCACGGAUUUGAUAUCUAAAGCUAACCCUAAUGAACCAAGGGUCGACAAAUAGAAAUAUCCUUACAUUCUAGUUAAACGAAGCACCUUCACAGAAGCAGCAAUUUAGGUAGGAUUGUGUUGAACUUAACGUAGAAGGGACAAAGUCCCCAUUAGACAACAACAUAUAAAUGGAAAAGAUCACCCACGGUUCUCUAGGACAUCAACAAACAACAUUACAUGGUGGUAAUAAUAAUUUUCCACAGCAUUUCCCCAAUUUCAGUUGCUCAAUGGCAACUGGAUACAUCAAAAGUAGUAAGAAAGAAAAUGACACUGCAGCGGCCUUGGGCUAUACAAAGAAAUGCAUGAUGUGCCAAGAAUCUGGAAAAGGUUUACCUCCCAUAUUUACUGAAAACACGCUCCAGAUCACGUGAACGGGUCCGUGAAGACAAGUGUCCCACAUAGAGACGAGUGCUAUUUCCCAUUCGAUCAUCAUAACGAGGCAUCUUUCGGGCACGGUUCUGAAACUGAAAACAUGCACUCUAUGAAGAUAAUAUGGUAUUACAACUCAUCUGUUCACAAACAUUUCUAAUCAUCCAGAACAAGAUGUGUCUGACCAAAUCAAACAUGCCAAAGGUUUUAGAGCAGAACUAAUCUUGGGGUAACACAACAAACAAGAAAUGAAAACUAGAACGUUGAGCUAUUCUAUCAAAAUUACAGGUUAAAAACUUAUGAAAGCACAAAAUUAAUAUAUAACCAAAAUGCAAACUUAUUUUGAGCUAGUUAAAGGACUUGAAUUCACCGACAAGCUUUUGGAAGCGUAAAGGUCCCGUCCAACAGAAAAAUAAGAGAGAAAAUAAUCAUGCAUAAACAAGAAUUUGAACGGCAUAAAGCCAAUAGCUUUAGUUUUUUCUUAAUAUUCAACAGAUUCUCACUGUACAAGCAAGAUUGGUUGGAUUACCUCACUUUUCUGUAGGUAAUAUCUUCACUUAUGCAGCUUUACAAAAGAAUUGCUAUAAACAUGAAAUCCUUUGAACCCACUCCAACCCCACAACAAUAUUUAACGAAAAAAACCAUACAAAACACUACAAAAUCUCAGCUUUUUAUUAGGCCCACCAUGAAAAAAGAACUAAGGAUACCUAAACCUAACAUAUACCAUAAUUCAACAAAUCUUCACAAACAAAAAGGAAUUAAACCUACAACAGGUAUCCCGCAUAAUCACUUGAGGUACACGAAACCUGGUCCGAACAACAGAGUAAGAAAAAAAACACAAUCUCUCACAUACAAAAUAAAAAAUCCCUCUCCAAAAUAGUCUAUACUCUAUUCAAAGAACAAAAUAAACAAAUUCAGGGCAAUUAAACAACAAUUAAAAUAAAAAAUUUAGGGCAAUUAAACAACAAUUAAAAUAAAAAUUUUUAGGGCAAUUAAACAACAAUUAAAAUCAACAAUUAUAGGGCAAUUAAACAACUUAAGAUCAACGCUUUUAGGGCAAAUAAGCAACAAUUAAAAUUAAAAUUUAGGGAAAUUAAACAGCAAUUAAAAUCAACAAUUUUAAGGCAAUUAAACAACAAUUAAUAUAAUUUUUUAGGGAAUUUAAACAAUAAUUAAAUCAGCAAUUUUAGGGCAAUUAAACAACAAUUAAAAUCAUUUUUUUUCUAAAAAAAAUAAAACCCAAAGCAAAAUAAAAAGCCGCAUCAUUUCAUAAAAAAUCCACAAUAAUUUCUCACUAAUACAAAUCAAGAAUCCCAUUCCAAACAGUAUAUUCAAUUAACAAAUUCAACAAUUUUAGGGCAAUUAAAAAAUAAAUUAAAAUUAACGAAUAAAAGGUAAAAUAAUUAAAUAAAUAAAAGAUUUACCUAAAAGGGCGAAAUUUGUUUGUAACGUUUGUUGGCUGCCUAUCGAAACCCUGUAAAAGAAAGACUUUUAUUAUUGAGCAUUAUCUUUGGUUGAACCGACAGAAAAUGAACGGCUGAGAUUUCACUGUUUGUUAUAUCGAAAGGUUAAAAUUGAUUGUGGCCCAGAAUUUGUUUAUGGGUUUACCAGGCCCAGGCCCAACUUAUAAAGCCCAAAAUGAAAAUUGUAGCUCUGAGUUUACAAGGCCCAAUUUAUAGAGCCCAAAAUGAAAAUUAAUUCGGUAAAAAAGGGAAUGGCACUGGAACAACAACAACAACAAACUCAGUGUAUUUUCACAAAGUGGGGUCUGGGGAGGGUAAGAUGUAAGCAGACCAUACCGCUACCUCUGAAGAAGUAGAGCGGCAGGAAUGGCACUGGAAGCAACUCAUUUUAUCAGAGCCAGGUUUCGAUCCUAGGACCUGUGGGUUAUGUGCCCACCACGCUUCCGCUGUGCUACUCUGAUUUGUUAAAAUUGUUUCUCCUUCAUAUUUUAUAUAUUUAUGACAUCCUCUUGUAUCAAGAUUGGCUAGCACUUUGUUUGGAUGGUUGUUACAUAUCGUAUCGUAUUGUAUUGAUUUGUGUUGUAUAGUUUUGAUGAAUAAUAUUUGAAUAGUUUGUAUGAUUUUUUUCUAAUAUACUUAUAGAUAAAUAGAGAUAGAGAGAAAGUGCGAACAAGGACACAAAUGAUGAUUACAAUAUUGCAUGCUGCUAGAUUUUCUUAUUUCAUCGUCAGUAUAUAACACACAGGAAUUGAAAUUAGAAGAUUCGAGCGUUGCUCUUCACAAGUUGAUUGACUGACCCAUUAGGUAGCCCCAGUUGAUCCAUCUAAAAGAAAGGUCAAUUUGGGUUAUAACCCAUUCGGUAGCCCAAGUUGAUUCAUCUAAAAGAGAGGUCAUCUUAGGUUAUAACCUAAAUUGACCCGGUAAAAUAAUUAUUGACCCAACCUUUUAAAUCUUGCGGGAAUGGGCCAGUUACACAUUAAUAAAUCAAAUUUGACAGCUUAGGCUCAUUCAUAAUUCAUAUAGAAAAAUUGCUUUGUUUUUUGGAAACUUGAAAUGAGUGAUCAAAAAUCCUCACAACUAGCAAGAUAGAUGGAGAUAUGGGAAUCAGAAACAGAAGCAUAAUUAUGAAAUGACCUUGGAGAUUUUCGCUAGAGGAACAAGCUUUGUGGAGGAAAGUGUAUAUGAAAAAUAUAGGGCGAAGAGUAGUGGACCUAGCUACAGUGGUUAUGGAGUUGGUGUGUGGUUAAAUAAACUGUCCUGAAACAUCAGAGUUUAAUGUAGAGAGCAAUGUAUCAAUGUUCAAAAUGCUUUUUUUUGUGGCAGGGACAAAGAAACAAACAACCAUAUUUUCCUCUAUUGUCAGGUCACCAAUAGACUUUGACAACUAUUUUUUUAACAUUAAAGGUCUGAGUUGGGUAGUGCCUACUUCCAAGAGAUACUAUGGACCUUUUGGUAUGUUGGACAACUUAGCUGCAGGACCAAGUCAGAACAUGAGGUGGAGUAUUAUCCCGACAUGUAUAUGGAGAACAUCAUGGCUAGAAAGGAAUUCCAAAUAUUUUGAGGAAAGCAAAUUCUAAGCAUAAGAUUAAAAUGAAUUGUAUAUUUUUUAUUUAAUUUUGGUGUAAACAAGCUCUAGUACAAGCUGUAGAGUCCUUCGAUGACCUCAUUGGGUCCUUGUAACUGACACCAUACUGUCUUUUGCCUUUGAUUUUUCUCUCCUUUUUGAAAGUCCUGUAUCUUAGGGCUCGUUUGUUUCAACAGUAACUUUGUGCUGAGAUUUGCUUAUUUUUAUUAGUGAAUUCUCAAAACACAAAAAACAACUUGAAAUAAGUGAUAUUUGUGUGACAUAUAAAACUUGGUAUGUAGCUUCAUGCCCAUGUUCCCAUUAGAAAUUUGGUAUCAAGUACCAUUGUAUAUUCAGUCAUGCACUCAUGUAUCAGUUCAGUUAUGUAAUUAUACAUCGGACAUGCAUUCUCAUUGUGAGAAACUUAGUUCUUCAGAACACCCAGUCAUGCAUUCAUGAAUCAGUUACACAUGCAUCAGAUAUGUAUGUUCAGUAUUAUAUGUUUAGCUUGUCAGUUAUGUUAGUCAUGAGAUCAUUUUCCAGUUAUUCAUGUUCAGCAUAUACGUCAGUUAUUUUUUCUUCCCUCCCAGUCAGUCUCAUUCGAGGAUGAAUGUUCUCAAGGGGGAGAUAUUGUAAUACCCCGUACUUUUUCCUAGCUAAUUUCAUCUCAAGAAUGUCUAGUAUCAGAUUCUAAAUUGAAUGAUGAUUAUUCCAUGAGGAAUUUUUAAUAUUUUCACUUUUUGUCAUGUGGAAAAUUCAAUAAACUCUCCAUCGAUAUAAGAUUUACCCAAUUCCGAUAAUCGGGUCAGAAGUUACGACUAUUUCAAGUUUCCAUUGUAAAACAGCGCCAUAUUAGUCAGUGGCGCACCGCGCCACAAGAGGAAAUGGCAUUUGGCAAAUUCCAAUAGGGGUCUGUGAUUAUGGCGCGUCGCGCCAGGGCCCAAAUUCAAAAUUAUUCUUUUCCAGUGUCUUAGCGCGAUUUCCUCCGCGUCGCGUCAAAGUUCCAGGUCGCAAAAGAAGGGGCAACACGAUGGCUCCACGUCGCGCCAUUCCUCAAUUUCCCAAUUGUCAAAAUCUAGUGACACGGGGCGAUAGCUCCGCAUCGCGCUAAAGGUCCAGUUCGGGAAACUUUUACAAUUUUAAAAGGCGCAUCCAAGGGUUAAAAGGGUCAAUUUCCUACCCCUAUUUAAACCUAAUAACACGUGAUUCAGCUACUUUUCACCCAAAAUACACUCUCUUCUCUCAAAAACCUCUCAAGAACAACCUAGGGCUUUUCAUAGAAGAUUCAGAAUCAAGAAUUUCCUUCGUCAAUCUUCACAGAAUCACGAACCAAGGUAUGUGUAGUGUUCAUUCAUGGACUCCUUUCGUCCAUGAAGCCCAAGAAUCUCUUUUCUAAGUUUUAAGUUUUUGUAUUUCUUUAUGAAUUUCAUGUUGGGUUUGUUUUGUGUAUGUUGAGAAUGAUCAAUUGAAUUCAAAUCCAUGUUGGGUGAUCAAUUUUAUAUGGAAUUGAUUUGUAUAGAUGUAUAUUCAUGUGAACCUAUGAAUAAACCUUAGGAUGAUGAAAUUAGAAAUGAAUCAUAAUGAUUAAUUGUUGUAUAAUGUUGUCUACAUGUGUUAUGCCUACCAUGUGUUUGAUUAAAUGCCUAGAUGAAGGAACAAUGCCCAACUAGUAUGAUAUCAUGAAAUUCCCAUGUAUGUACAAGUUAUGCCUAUCACAUGUUUUGAUGGAAUGCUUCUAUAAAUGUAUUAUGGAUUAUGAUGUUAGUUAUAUGUUCAAGUAAGUUAUGCUUGGUCAGUUUCCUUCCAUCGAGUCCUGGGGUAUUUGUACCCAAAAUAUUAGUUAUGUACCUAGAGCCAUGUCAUGUUUCCACGAUACUAUCAGUGAAGCUAUGAUCCUUAGAUUUUAGACAGUUUUAUUACUCAGGAAAUCUCCAUGAUCUUAUGAACUCAGUCAGUUGUCAGAUGUCAAUAGUAUUCCAUCAGUCAACGAAAGUCAGUAACUCAGUUCAUGUUCAAUUCAGUAAAUCAUGUUCAGUGUUUAUUCAGAUGGAAGUAGAAAUUAGCACCGAGCAAACUCAAAGGUAGGAAAUCACCUGUUAUAUGAGGGUGUGAUUCUUAGAAGCAAUCCUUGCAUUUCAGAACUAUGUAGCCAGCAUAGGUUAAGACACCAUAGCCUGCUAUAUAAGGGUAGAUGAGGUGGCUUAACCUGCUAUAUAAGGGUUUCCACCGUUCUCAUUAGAGUUACCUGUCAUAUUAGGGUCACUUACAUGUUGUCCUUACCUGUGGCGCGGUAUUGAUACCCUUCCAAUCAGGGCGCAGAUGGGACCCCAAUUCAGCUAUAAUGCAUCAUUUAGGGCAUGUCAGUUAGAUGACUACAUCCCACAGUCUCAGCAUCAGUUUCAGUAAAAGAACUCAGCUAGUUCUAUCAGAUUCAGGACUGUCAGAUACAAUCAACUCAAAUACAGUAUAGAACUCAGCUAGUUCCAUCAGAUUCAGGACUGUCAGAUACAGUCACUCUUGUUAUCGGUUAUAUUCAGAUACAGUAAUCAUGUUAUCACAGUAUUAGUGUCAGUUGUUAUGUCUCAUGCAUGUAUUCUCACGCUCAUGAUAGUUAGUCAGUUAUUAUUAUUGUUCAUGCAUAUGAACCCCAUGUAUUCAUCCUACCUCACAUGUAUACCAGUACAUUCAAAGUACUGAUGCAUUUGCGCUCUGGUGUCUUAUACCAUAGGUUCAGAGACACGACCUCUAGAGCAACAGUAGAUUCCAGAUAUCCAUAGACAGAGUUAGAAGUGAGUCCUUAUCUUUCGAGGACAUGAUUAUUUCCCUAUUAUCUCAUUAAUCAGUUUAUUAGUUGGAGUUAGUUGGGGACAUGUCCCAUCAACUCCUUACUCAGACAGUUCAGUCAGUUAGAGGCUUUCUAGACUAUCAUGUUUAAAACAUCAAUAUGUUCAAUUUUGUUUUGGGUAUUCUAUUACCCCACACAGAUGUUAUAUCAUUCAGACCAUGUUCAGUAUUGAACCUUAUGGCCUUUCAGUUUAUGCUUCCGCAUUAUAAAGUAUUUUAUGCAGCAUACAGGUACAGAUAUCAGUCAUGGAUUAGCUUAUGGUCCUUCGGGGUUAUGAGCACCAUGUAGCAUUUGGGGUACCAGAUUUGGGGCGUUACACAACCAUUUUUACAAUUGUCCUUUUUCAGUGUUCCAACACGAUGUCACCACAUCAUGGAGAGCUUCCAGGCCUCAACAAAAGUGGCAACGUGAUACCACCGCAUCGCACCACUAUGCAUUUUCCCAAUUGGCAAUUUUCAGUGACACGACACGAUAGCGCCGCUUCGCGAUAGGGGUUUGGAUCGGAAAAUUUUCUCGAAAAUUAAAAGUGACGUCCAAGGUUAAAUUGGUCCUUUUCUAUGAUUUUAAUCCGCCCAGGUGUGAGAUCUAAGACCUAAAAAUGUUUUAACUCAUUCAUUUAUUCAAUCUUUCCCUUAAAUCGAAGUAUUCUCUCUAAAGAAAGCAAACCCUAGAUCCAAAAAAUCAAGGUCAAUCUCAAGGAUUUCCCCAAGAACUUCAAGAAACUCAUCAAUUAAGGUAUGUUAGGUAUUCAUCUAUGGGUUCUUUUUGCCCAAAGAGCCCAAGAAUCUGUUUUUAAAACUUCAAGAUUUAUGAUUUAUGAUUUCUAUGCUUGGAAUUGAAUGUAUUGAUUCAUUAUAGAAAUUGGGAUCCAAUUCAUAUUUAAUUAUAAGUUUUCUUGAUAUUAAGAUAGUUAUGUGAUGGAUUAUAUGAAUUGCAUGCUAAACCCUUGAAAUUGAAAUUUAGUAGCUAACUGUGAUGUUCAUGUGUUGACCAUUAUCAUGAGAAAUAUUCCAUGCUCCCCAAGUGUUUGGUAAAAUGACUAUGUGAAGUAGAUAGUGGAAUCAUGACAUGUCAUUAUGUGGUCCCAAAUCAUGUACAAGCUUAUGUCUUGCAAGUGUUUGAUAAAGUGUCUCUAUAAAUGAAUUAUGAACUAGUGAAUAUUGUUAUGUUAUUCAAGAUCAUGUGAUGCUUUAAUUUUCAUGCUAUCAAGUCCUGGGGGUAUUUAAUACCCGAUAAUUUAGCUGUUUACCUAGAGCCAGUGUCAAUUAUAGAAUAGUAUCAGUCAUGCCAUGAUCAGCAGCACUCUCAGUCAGUUUUAGAACUUAGUAGAACUCAGUCAGUUACAGAACUCAGAAAAACUUAGUAAUCUCAGUAUCAGUCUAGUUCAGUUCAGUAUCUUUCAGUUGGGAGUAGGAUUCAGUAUCGAGUGAACCCAAGGAUGGGGGCUCACCUGCUAGCAGAAGUGUGAUUAUUAGAAGUAAUCCUUGCAUUCCAGAACUACGUAGCCAGCGUAGGUUGAGACAUCUAACCUGCUAGUUGAGGGUUGAUGAGGUGUUUUAACCUGCCAGAUGAGGGUUUCACCGUUCUCUUUAGAGUACCUACCAGAUGAGGGUAACUCUUAGCUUGUCUUUACUUAUGGCACGUAACUGACACCCUUCUAAUUGGGGUUACAGAUUUGACCCCAACACAGUUAUCUUAUCUUAUUUGGGGCAUGUCGAUUAGAUGAUUACCUCUCAUAGUUUCAAUCUCAGUCUUCAGAAUAAAACUCAGCUCAGUUAUACAGCAUCAGGACUGUUGAUACAGUCAAUUAGUAUUAGUAACUUAGAUUAUCAGUUACUCAUUUAUCAGAAUCCAGUACUUAGCUUCAGAUAAGCUCAGUUACAGUAUAUACGUAUGCACAGUAUUACAUAACCAGUACUUACAGCAGUUUCAGUUACCCACGUACUCUCAUAUUUCAAUUGCUCUAUAUCAUUCAGUUAGUAUUAUUCAUGCAUAUGAACCCUUGCAUUCAAUCCUACCUCAUCUAGUAUACCAGUACAUUCCUCGUACUGACCCAUACUCUUUCUUUAUGCUAUGAUUUCUUAUAUCAUAGGUUCAGACGCUUAGGUUCCAGACCGCGCAUAGACAUAUUUAGAUUCAGCCAUCAGUAGACUUAGCAGUGAGUCCUUAUUAUUCGAGGAUAUUUUUUUAUUUCAUUAUUGUAUUAGACUCAGUAUUUCAGUAGAUGGAAUUAGUUAGGGGAUUGUCCCAUCAACUCCACUUUCAGAUAGCUCAGUUAGAGACUUUUCAGACUAGUUUUUCAGACAGUGUUCAGUUUUACAGAUUGUUAUUCCAGUUGAUACAUUUUAUCGGUACUUCAGAUAUUUUGAACCUUAUGGUAUUUUAGCCUAUUUUUUUGCAUUUAUCACAGUAUAUUAUUUAGUUCUCACUGCAGAUAUGAGUCAUGGGUUAGUUUGUGGUCCUUCGGGGUCAUAAGUACCAUGUAGCGUUCGGGGUACAGACUCGGGGCAUUACAAAAGUAUUAACAACAAGUCUGGUAUGUUUCAUGAUAAACUCUUCACGACUCGUAGGCAAUGUCAUUUUUAUCUUGAGGAACCAUUAGUUUCUCUACCAUUUCAUUCCCAUUUUCCCCAGAACCAAUAUAGAUUGCACUGUCUAAAUUAGAGUACUUAGACAAAGCUUGACUAGCCACGGUUUCCUCACAGUCAAAUUCACUCAGGACAACACAAAUACCAGCAAGCAAUGAGGAAAAUAGAGCUUCAAGAACAUGAUGUUCAGUAGUAAGAGUAGCAACAACUUUAUUGCAUCAGGCCAAGGUGUGUGCACUGGUCAAGUCAGGAGUAGAGUAAUUUGCUUUUUGGUACCGUGAAUCUCUAGCUCAAGAACAAUAAACUUUAGAGAGAAUGGACCAAUUAGGCAAUGUAAGUAAUGUUUUCUAUAAUAUCAUAGUAAUUUACUUUUCUAGUAUUUGCUGCAAAUAACUUCAUCUUAGAAUAAAGGAAAAGACGACAGUAGCAUCCUUAGCCGUCUUUCAAGCAAGAAGACAGGAAAAAUUAUAGGGUUGAGCAACUACUUUUGCAAUUGUUUUGCUACCUUCCGCCUUUCUUUAGAAAACAUAGAGAAUGAUAUAUAUAGGAUGUUUAAUACCAACGUCUUAGGACAGCUUGGGGUGAGUCAAAAGACACUCAACGACUUCUGUAAUCUCCCGAAUUAGCAUGCCUAACCCACCAAAAUCAAUAUAUAACUCUAAAGGAGUUUUUUGAAGCUUCAUGACAGAUAUUGGAUCGACUUCAUCUUGCCAAAGCCCAACAACAGAUAGAACCUUAUUAUACAUUUAAAUUUCAUGAGGUUUCAAUUCUUCUUUAUCGAAAAAAGAAAACAUCAAAACGUGAUACUCUUAUCCGACAGAAUGAGAAUUUAAUACUUGGCUAGCAGUUGCCAAUUCUUAAAGAUAUCAAAGUGAACAACCAAAACGCAAGUGAAAUUUUUGUGAAGCACAAUGAACGAGUACCUACCAGUUAUGUCAUCGAAUAUACCUUUCUCAUUGUCUGGACAACUACUUUUGACAUACUCAUGCCCGUCAAAUGAAAUCAAAUAUGAAUUUUUGCAACUUGAUCCAAAACCUUGGCCUUAACUCGCUGGGGAUUUACGUCGAACAUUUUAGCAACAUAGCUUGAGUUUCCACUAAUUGAACAGGGAUAAAAUGGAAAAUGAAGUAACAUACACAUGGUCACAUUUUUAUCUAGGGUCCCAGCUGGCCAGCCAAUAUAGUGUUCCCAGUUUUAAGAAAACCGACAAAUAACAAUGCAUGUGCAAACAUACCACUACGAUGCAUGCAAUGCUUGGGAUCACUUCAGUUGUGAACAAAUUUCUUCAGUUCAUCUUGUACCUCAGCAACACCCCUAAUGUCGUUGUAGUAGACAAAGAUUCUCUCAAACUGGAAAGCAAAAUCACCUUUGUAUCGGUUAGUGUAAUUAAUACCAAAUAUUGCACAAACAACUUCCCAGGACUUGGAGUAGUAGUGUAUGUCGGACAUUGUGUUGAACACCUCGUUUCUAAGAAUUGCAGAAUAUCCCACUAAUGAAUCUGCUAUGGGAUUUUCUAACAUCUUAUUAGGUACCUCAAAAUUGUCCAAAGAGCGUGAGUUUCCGUCUAUUAAAUCAGAAUCCUUGUCGCCUAUACAGACUACGGAAGCACCAUUCUUUAUGUCUUCCACAUUGGCCUCAUCUCUUUUUGUCCCUUCAAAGCCUUGGAGUCUAAUUGCAUCUCCUCCUACAGUAGUGGUCGCACACGACAAAUUCAUGGAUUCUUGUAGUAUGUUCACCGAUUCAAAGAGGGUGUUGAAUUGAGCAUUAAGCAUGAUAGAAGAAUAGAACCGCAUGGAGUAGGAUCAGUGAAAGCACCAAUGUAACUAACUAAGCUUUGAAUUUAAAAUAAAAGGAACUAACAACGAUAAAAUAACAAAUAAGGAAAAUAGAAAAAGGGAUUCUAGAGUGCUAUUACAAAAUAGCUAAUGAAAAUAAUGAAUAAAACAACAUAACUCUUUGCAUGAGCCCAAGAUUAUUUUUCUUUUUGUCACUUUCAAUCUUGAAAAUCCUUUUGAACUUCAAUACAUUACUCAUUCUUUUUUGGAUAAAAAGGGGCGGGCCAGUUGUAUUACCGGAUUGAACAGCAAUAGGAUAAGGUCGGUCUUGUAUUUUCUUUGAUCUCCUACUUUUUAGGUGUUACAUUUCUUUUAAAUUGUUUGAAAUUUUCUCAUCAACAUUUUUGUAUGUUUGAGUCUCACAUUUUUCUUUGGCUAAAUUUAGAGCUGGUAAAAGACGGCUAUAUUACAUAUCUUUUGUACCUCUGUUAGAUAACUUGGUGCUGCUUUCUGCUUUCCUAAUGUUGUUUCAAGCUGUGCAAUUAUUCUUUAUCAUCUUUUCUUCUUGCUGAGGUAAGAUAAAUCUUGUAUCUUUUUAAAAUUUUCUUGUUUCUCUGUUUGGGUGUAUAUUGUGAUAUUGAAAGCUCAAAAUUUCUCUUCAUUGCUUGUUAGCAUUGAUAUGAAAUAUUUUGUCCACAAUUUUCUAGAAACAAAUCUUUGGGUUCAUAUAAUUUUAAAUAUUGUAAACUAUGAAUUCCGGAAUGUAUUUUAUUUGUAUAGAUUUUCUAUAUUUUUUUCUCUUUAAAAUUCAAGAAAAUCUUGCAUAUUAUACAAUUCGUUGAUCUGGAUCCUAUGGUCCUGAUCCCCAAUACAUUUAAUGGUCAUGGUUCAUAGAAGUAUACUUCCUCAAGGUUGAGAGCUUAUAUGAAGACCAUACAAUUUUGUCUCUGAACCUAAUAGUUUCUAAAGGACAUACGAACUUGAAAGUAGAAUGACUAAUCAAAGAAGUUGUAUUAUGGUUAUUGCAUAAACUUGUUCAUGUCUAUGGAGAGAAGAGAAUUUUGAGUAUUGAUUCACACUAGUAUUUUGAGCUUGGAUUAACAAUUUACUCAUAUAAAAGAAUUUGACUCUAAAGCCUUUCCAAACCUAUAAAAUAAUUUUGGGGGGUUGGGGGUGGGUUUCUGGGAUAUUCAGCUGCCUUGCCUAGGGUCCUAGAUUAAGAACUUUGAAUUGGCUUAUUUUAAGUGUUUUUAGGCUAAAAUAACUUUUAAGUACUUUUGUGGUAUUUGGUAAAAUAAAAAAGUGCAUUCAAUCACUUGUUUUUAAGCCAAAAAGGCAAAAAUAGUCUAAAGCUAUAAGCCCAUCAAAACAGGCUCUUAAUCUACCAGCCUGUAUGACACAACAUAUCAAACAAGAAAGUUCAAUUGACUGGAUCACGGACUUUAAUUCUCUUUUCUAAUUGUGGAAGCAAGGUAUUCGUUGCUAUUAGAGAAGCGUCAAAUAUUUAUCAGUCCGCAAUGAAACAUUUCUUCCCUGUGAAGAAAAAUUACCUUAUGAACUUCCUUUUUCCAUUAUUCAGGCUCAUUUCAAUUGGUUCUUUUUUCUAUCAUUUUGUAGAUGAUUCUAUCAGAUUAUGCUUCAUCCUUUCUGUUUUAUUCCACAAAUUGACAAUAACUAUGAUGGAAGUUGUUAAUAAGUUCUUUAUUAUAUCGUUGACUAUGUGGAAAGCUCCAAUUGCAUUUUUGUACGUCUUUAACCACAACUUAAUUCCUGGCGAGCUUUAUAUAAUUUACUUUUUUAUGAAAAGCUUUCCUAAUUUUGUACGCCUUUUACCACAACUUAAUUCCUGGUGAUUUACAUAAUUUAUUUUUUUGAGCAAAGCUUUCCCUAAAUUUUUUAAAUACAAAUUUUACUUGAUAAAAGAUUUCUUUAAAAUUUUAGGCUAUCAUAUGUGCCAAAAGAAGUUGGCAAUCCUAAAGUAGGUAUUGUUUGGUCUUAGAUAGUCUUCUAACUAAUUCAUUAUUAAAAAGCCUUGGACUAUGUUUUUUUUCAUAGUUAUGCUUGAGAAUCUUACCCUUUCUUUUUUGUGCUUUUACAUUUGAUCACAAUGGUAUUAGUCCGUACUCACAUCAGUUUGUUGAACAUAAGAAACAGUGUAAAAGAUUUGUUUCGGUUAAUUCUUCAACUAUGUGCGCUGCCUUGCAGUCUUUAUUGCUUAAAAUGUGAUAGCUCUUUGCUUAUCUGAGUCCCUGUAUCCAAAGGGUACCAAAGCCCUUUCACAUUUUUAUCUGAAUUCCAGGGAACUAUUAUUAUAUGUUGGCUUCACAAUAUGUUCUGUCAAUUUAAUUAAUGGGAUAUUGGUGAGGGGACUGUAGUAGUCAUGUUUUAUGCUGAUUGCUAUGUGAUAUACUGAUGUCGAGCUCUGCUCAUGAACGAGAAAGGUUGACCAUGGUGAAUAGAGAAUUUCUGAAUAUAAUUUAUCUUUUGUCAAAUAUUCAAAUAAAAAAGAAGAAAUCUUAUUUUGUUGGCGGGGGUUUUAAGGUUUGGUACAACACUCUCAUGUUCCCCUUGCUUAUGUCUUAAAUAGUAUUCCAGAUGUGUUUUCUUAAAGUUUUUGGCUAGAACAUGGAUAGAGUGGAAGAUGAUGAAAUAUAGCAGGUACUUAUGAUGGAUUUGUGACUGGUUUGUCUCCUGGCACAGCCAAGUAUAGCUGUGCUGAGCUUCUAGGAUACAUAUCUGGGUGAUUACCCAAUUAAUGCUUGCUGAUUCCUGCUCUAUCUAUUAAUUGUUUUAUAUAACAAAGAAUAUCAAUUAAAUGCAUGAUAUAAUAGCUAGGAGAAGGGAAGUAUAAUAUCCAUGUUAUGUAGGCUAGAGAACUUGUCACCAUUUGGAAUACUUCUAGAUAGUAUUAAUAAGAAGUUACUAGAAACUUCUUUGCAGUCAUUAAGAAAUGAAGUUCUAAAUUGGAUAAGUUUUUGAGAUACUUUUUUCUAAUGUAAUAAAGGAAUCACAAUAAGAUACUGCCACUUUAGAUUAAUAAGUUGUAAUUAUGACCGACUAAAUGGCUCAACAUUAUCUCUCAUUAAUUCUUAACCUCUGCAGAAUCUCUAUUCUUCUGUCUUCCAUAAAUAUUUGCCUUUUCUUUUUUUGUUUCUCAUUAUCAUAAUAGUUCCUUUUGUUAAGUAUGGUUUGGAGUAACAAAUCAAUUCCCAUUGGCAGAACUGAAAGUAAGGAGUGUCAUUUAUCUUGUGAUUGAAGACUUGCUGUAUGGCCAAUAACAGAACUGUUUUAUCUUAACUAGCAACAAUAUUAACUAAAGUCUAUGUUUUAUGAGUUAAUUCUGUAAAGCUUAAAGGUUUAUCUAUAGUUUAACUUGCCUCCUGAAUGAUUUUGUGUGUCGCAUAAUUACUCUUAUUUCAAGUUGUUUUUUGUGUGUUUGAGAAUUCAUUAAUAAAAAUAAGCAAAUCUUAGCACAAAGUUACUGCUGAAAGAACCAAGCCCUAAGAUACAAAACUUUCAAAAAAAAAAAAGAAAAACCAAAGGCAAAAGAUAGUAUUAUAUCAAUUACAAGGACCCAAUCAGGUCAACUAAGGACUCUACAUCUUGUACUAGAGUUUGUUUACACCAAAAGUGAAUAACAAAUAUACAAUUCAUUUUAUUAUUAUGCUUAGAAUUUGCUCUCCUCAAAACAUUUGGAUUUCCUUUCUAGCCAUGAUGUUCAGUAUAUACAUGCCGAGAUGAUACUCCACCUCAUCUUCUAACUUGGUCUUGCAGCUAAUUUGUCCAACAUUUCAAAAGUUCCACAGUAUCUUUACCGAACUCAGACCUUUAAUGCUAAAAAAAUAGUUGCCAAAGUCUAUUGGCGACCUGGCAAUGAAGGAAAAGAUGGUUGUUUGUUUCUUUAGCCCUGCCACAAAAAAAAACAUGUUAAACAUAGAUACAUUGAUCCCUACAUUAAACUCUCAGGUUUCAGGAUAGUUUGUUUAACCACACACCAACUCCAUAACCACUGUACCUGAGGUUCACUACUCUCCGCCCUAUAUUUUCCACAUACACUUUCCUCCACAAAGCUUGUUCCUCUAGACAUCCUCAAAUUGAACAUCUUGAUUCUUCAAAAGUUGAAACAACGGAAAACAUUAUCUGCAGUCCCUAACAACAAACUGAAUCUUUCUUGGAAUGUCCAGAACCCACAAUCGAAUUAGUCUCUAUUGAAUCCUCUUUAACCUCAGAAGCUUAUGCUCAGCCUAUCAUGAUUGAGAAUUCAAACCAAGGAUUUGGAUCACCAAUAGAGCAAGAAACAUCUCAACCUGAAACUCCCUCUUCUCCAGAAAAUUCAAAACUGCCUGAAAACUUCCAAAUUCCUGAGUCAUCCAAAAAAUCCAAAAACGCUGAACAUGCUAAAACAUAAAAAGCAUCUGACUCUCCUACACUCUCAGAUUCAAACCCUCUUUUUGCCCAGUUAUUUGGUGAUGAAAUUCCGGUGAAAAGGAUUGAUCUUUCCUCUAAUGAAAACUAGGUAGCUGAGAAUCUACUCCUACUUGCAUACGGCACCAAAGAAAGCUCAGUAAAUGGAAAAGAAUAGGAAAUGAGUGAUAAGGAUAAAGGGAAUAAAGGAAAGGACAUGUUGUUACCACCACAUGAGAAAGAAGAAGAGGAUGAGGAUGAAUUACUUCUAAGAUAGUCGGUAAAGAAACUGAGAGAAAGUAUACGUAAGGAGAAAGUGAUAAACUCGUAGGUAAAGGUGACUAGAACCUAUUCUACAAGAGGUUCAGAAAAGAAAAUAUUGGAAGAUGCCAUGAAGGCCAAAAAACCUUCAACCAUAAGAAGAAGAAGGCUUAAGAAAUCUAUUUCAUUAGAGGAGAAAGAAAAUGUGGAAGUUGUGAAAGUUGAAAAAUGGGAGGACAUAGAUUCAAAACUGCUGCUACUAAUGAGGAAACAAAAAAGGAAGAUGAGGUUGCUGAAAAGACCAAGUUAUCUAAGUCAAUGACUGGUGGUUCAACUGAAAUGAGGCAGAAACAUAUAUCUGUCAAGAAAAAAAAAAUUUUGAGCCUGGUCCCAUGAAUAGAAAAACGGAUGAAAUAGGAGAGCUAAGUAGUGAACCUAAGAGAAAGAAAAAGAAUGACAUGUCCAGAGAAAGGAGGAUUGAGAACCUGAGAACACUGAAGGUUCUGCUGGGAGAGUAUUUAAUCCUAUUUUAUCCCUUUCGGAUUUAUAUUAAUGAGAAAAUGGUUUGACCUUCUUAAAACUAUUUUAAAAGAUUCAAGGAAAUUUUGAAAUAAUUUUAAGAAAUUCACAGAGUCGCCACUUAAUUUUAUAGAAAAAAUCAAGAAAAACUUAAAAGAGUUUCAAAGGUUCAAAAACAAAAAUAAACCUUCAAAACUAGAGAAACUGGGUAAGAGUUUAAUUAACGCCCUAAGAAGGUUUUUAAGGCAUUUAGGAGCGUCCGUUUAAAACAGUUUACCAAAAAGAACUAACUUGACUAAUUAAAGAGGCUAAUUUUUUUGUAAAGACUUGAUUUUAUAGAAAAUAUUAAAAUUAUUUACUGAAACAUUUAAAAAUGACAUUUUAUAAAUAACACUUUUUGGAAAAAAAAUUAAGAGCGUAACAAAUUAAAAGUAUCUUACUAAUUAUAGAAAGUUAAAAUUUAUAAGAAAAUUUAGUUUCUUGAGUUUGAAGAAAAUUACUUUAAUCUAAAUGAACUAUCAGUUGCAUGAACAAAACAAACGUCAUUUUGGGAAUAAAAUACUAAUCUUUAAAAGAGUUGUUCAAAGGAACUAAUAAAUUCGUUCUAGACAAUAUAAAAUUAUGUGAGAAAAUUAUAGGUUAAGUAAAAAAAUUAAAAUUAAAUAGAAUGACGACAACUUAGGGGAUUACUUAGUUUAAAUAAAUAAAAUUAGAGUUAAUACAUAAAAACAGGAAUAAAAUACAAGAAAAAAAAGGAACAAAGGUUUAAGAUUUGGGCCUUUGUUGGCCCAUUAGCAAGCUGUCCAGCUUUUGGGCCCAAUUUCCCUGAAUUUCAGUCCACUUUUCCAUGUAUAUCAGCUGUAUACUUCAGCUAUUUUCCCUGCGUUUUCUUGUAUAUACUCUGUAUAUCAGCGUUUAGAACCUUGUUUACCUGCUCCCAGAUUUACCAUACGUCGAGACUUAUACCGACCAUAUUUAACUGUAAACCUUGUAUAUUAGUUGUAUACUGUGUAUACCAGCAACUGUUUCUUCAAAAAUAAAGACAUUUGAGCUCGUAGAAGAUAAGGCCUCUUUGGCCCAUUGAGAAAUGAGAGGAAUGUAGUUCGUUGGGACUCAAGAAAAAUUUUACAUGCAAGAAAAAAUGAAGAUAAGAAUUAGCCGGAGAUGAAUGCUAAUAACAACUCAAACAAUAGGUUGAGAACCCAAUGAAUGUUUAGUAAAACUUAAUCAAUGCGAUCAAGUAGAGAAGAGAAAGACCAAAAUGAUUUCAACAAACUUUCCCAAACAAAAGAUUUCCGAAAGAAGAUUUACAAAAUAGUAACUUCCUAUGCGAUUUUUCCAAUGAAUUGAAACAAGUUUCAGAAAAUACAUGCAUGUGUUUAUGAAAACAAGCAUAGAUAGAUAAGAUGGUCGAGGAGAAAAAGCGUAUAAAAAUUAAAACAAAGAGCACAAAUAUCGAUCUUGAUCAAAGCUAUGUAAAACAACAACCCAACUCUAGACCAAAAGUUUAUAACUCAAAAGCAUACAUUAAUAAAGGAUCACUGAAAAACAUCUCAAUAUUUAGAAAUUAAGACGAAAACAAAUCAGUGGGAAAUUCAAAUAUGUAAUCUAAGGCUAGGAACAUUUUUCCUUCUUAUAAUUUCUUUAGGCCCAUAUAGUUCAUAAACUUUAAAUGAUCAAUCUUUUUUUUUUUGAAAGAUGGCAAAAUCAUAUUCUCUAGUCAUAAAAACAUGCUAAGGAGCAAUAAUUAAAAUGAUAAUUACUUUAAAAAUGGUGCGGGCAGGCCCUUCCUUGGUUUGCUAAAUUGUUCAAUCACCAUUUGAAAUGUAGUUGAAAAAAUAGUUAAUUUUCAAUGACUAAAACAUUUUUGUCCUUUAUCUUCUUCAUUUGAAAACGACAUAAUCUAUCAAACUUUAUCAAAACACAAAAUAAAUCAAACUCACUUUCUCUAAACUGAGUGGUAUUAAACUAGAUUAUUAGCUUUACAUGCUCAAAGGUAAGAUCUUAUUAGUGACGUAUCUUUGCUAAAUAUUUGCUUUUAAAAAAACUUAUUAACAAUUAGCAUGUUCAUCAUGCUAAGAUCGUGAUGACUAAAAUACAAGCGGUAUCUCAACAGAUAUAAAAUGCAGUGAACGGACCACUGUUAGUGGACUUGUAGUGCGUACAUUGCCAACCUGCGAAUAACUUUUCUCGGGCAGCAAACUGAAACAACGAGUCGAUGAUGACUUCCAACACUAAAUUCAAUUUCAAUUCACAGGAACUCAAAAUAAUUUCAUCGAAUAUUGAUUUUUUUUUUAAUUAUGUUCUUCAAAAAUUUCGGUUGCGUGAGGUUAGAAGUAUGCGCCUCCAAAACCCUCAAAUUUCCCCCCAAAAUUCUCCCUCCCUUCUCUCUACAUAUGUGGGUAUUUAUAAAAGAUUCGGAACUGAUUUUUGAAGGGAAACAAAUAAGACAUUGAUGAUGAAAAAUUUAAAAUUCAAACACAAAUUAAUCGUGAUCAUCUGUAUUCAUACGAAAUUGAACAAUUUUGAGGAAUAUCUAGAUUAAUAGCUGUCGUUAUUGACUUGUUCGAUUUGUUAUUGGUGUAGGAGCGCUGUUAUUGCAACUAUUGUUGUUGAAAGUUGUUGUUGCCGUUUACAAAAGUUGUGUUGUAGUCGGGUCGGGUCGAAAGGUUCUGGUUUAACGUUACUGGAUAGGUUGUUCGGGUUUGGAUCGUCGGUUUUCGAGUUGUUGUCAUUUUCGCUGUUGAUGUUGUUUUCGUUUUGGUUUUUGGCGUGGUUGAUGUUGUUGAUACGAUUGUUGUUAUUGAAGUUUGUUGUCGUUGGAAUUGUACGUUGAAGCUGAUGUUGUUUUGGAUCGGGUCAGGAAAGAGGAAUAAAGAAUGGAUUAGUUUUGGUUGUUUGUUGGGCCUGUUGGGCCGGGUCAAUUUGGUUAAGGAAAGAUUUUGGUUGGGUCGGCUAAGGAGUGAGCUGGAGCAGUUGGGUUUUGGGGUUAUUUUUUAAAUAACCAUAAUUAUAUUAGGAUUUAAGAGUUUAACAAAUGGUGCUAAGUUAUAAUUUCAGUUAAUUUUAUUAAGAUUUAAAUCAUAUUGAAAAUCAAUUGGCCAAUUGCAUUAUAAUUGUGGCCAAAUUGAUUUCAAUUAUGAUAAUUUUCAAUAAAUUAGCUGAAAUUAAAUUACAUUCUAUACUAAUUAUCAAUCAAUUUAAUCCGAAGCUACUUGGUUUAACAAAAUUAAACUUAUAUUUUUUUCCAAAUAAAUUAUGUUUGACAACAAAAUAUAUUUAAAUCAAAACUUUGCCCAUUUAAAUCAAUUUUCAAUAUAGUCCUUGAUUAAAAUUCAAUUUUUUCUUAAAAAUAAUAAUUUAAGUAACAAAAUUAUAAAUCUCGUAAAUACAAAAAUAUAUGAUCACUACUUAAAAUGAAAAAAUUCGUACAAAAAAUAUUUUAAUUUUUUUAUUCGGAUAAAAUAAAUGUUGUAAUUUUAUUUAAAAUCGAAGAAACUCAAAAUUAAACUUAGUCUUAGAGGACAAAAAUUAGGUGUCAACAAAUCCAAAAAUCUAUGACAAACCAGGUAUGAUAGAACUGGUGGAGUAUGUGAGGCAUCAGGGCUGGUUUCACCUGCUAGAAGAACCAGCUCCCAUUGUCUUUGAAUGAGAAGUGAGAGAAUUCUACUACUCCAUGGGAUUCUCGGAAGAUGGUUUAAGUAUGACCACACAGAUCCAGGGAAAGGUUCCUAAGCUGGAUGAAGAAAUACUAAGAAGAAUCCUGGAUGUACCUGUUUUAGGGGUGAGAUCUGUGGUAAAUCAACAACUUACUACUUAAUUCAUGAUUGAGGCAUCAAAGGCAGGAGGGACUCAACAGCUGCAGUGAAAAAAAAAAGUUUAUGAAGAGUAAGCAUCAGCUGGUAUUUGAGUUCACCAACAAGGUCAUGUUGCCAAGGUCUAAAAAAGAACAAUUUCCUCUAGUGUUGACUUGUUUUUAAUUGAAUGCUUGAGCACGUUUGAAUUUGUUAGUCUUCCUGCUUUAAUGAUAGAGCAUAUGCAUAAAGUGCUUUAUGAAAAAAAAAAAAAAAAACAUGGAAUGCUAUAUAGAUAUCUACUGAACAGGGUGUUUGAACAUUAUGGUGUGAAUGGAACUAGAGGAACACCUGGAACAACUAAGCAAACGAUCAGCUAACAACUCUUAUGGAGAAUGAAUGCAUAGAAGGCAAAACUAGAUUUCUGUCUCAAGUAUCUAAGUUUCUAGUUGUUCAGGGAAGGUUGGGAAGAAAAUAGAAAAGUUAAGGAUUAUGCUGGCUGCCAAAGAUACUGAGAUAGUGCAUCUGAAGUUGCAGAAUCAGAAGUUGUCUUCUGAGGGACCAGGUACCACUGAUGAGCUUGCAGCUGAAAAUGCGAAACUCCAGGCACAAGUGGCAGAACUGACUGGUGAAAUUCAAGCAUUGAAUGUUGAAGUGAAAGUCUUCACCAAACAGUUGUUAGAUGCCCACAAUGCUGAAAAUGCAAGAAUAGAGAUGUUGCUUAAGUCUCUUUUCCCCCAACCUCCCUCUACCUAAGCCUUGUUAUCCCUGUCCUCUUAUCAAUUAUGUGUCAGUCUUAUAGGUUCUAUAUUGGGUUGGAUCUUGAAGACAAAGAAACUCAAAAUUAAACUUAGUCUUAGAGGACAAAAAUUAGGUGUCAACAAAUCCAAAAAUCUAUGACAAACCAGGUAUGAUAGAACUGGUGGAGUAUGUGAGGCAUCAGGGCUGGUUUCACCUGCUAGAAGAACCAGCUCCCAUUGUCUUUGAAUGAGAAGUGAGAGAAUUCUACUACUCCAUGGGAUUCUCGGAAGAUGGUUUAAGUAUGACCACACAGAUCCAGGGAAAGGUUCCUAAGCUGGAUGAAGAAAUACUAAGAAGAAUCCUGGAUGUACCUGUUUUAGGGGUGAGAUCUGUGGUAAAUCAACAACUUACUACUUAAUUCAUGAUUGAGGCAUCAAAGGCAGGAGGGACUCAACAGCUGCAGUGAAAAAAAAAAGUUUAUGAAGAGUAAGCAUCAGCUGGUAUUUGAGUUCACCAACAAGGUCAUGUUGCCAAGGUCUAAAAAAGAACAAUUUCCUCUAGUGUUGACUUGUUUUUAAUUGAAUGCUUGAGCACGUUUGAAUUUGUUAGUCUUCCUGCUUUAAUGAUAGAGCAUAUGCAUAAAGUGCUUUAUGAAAAAAAAAAAAAAAAAACAUGGAAUGCUAUAUAGAUAUCUACUGAACAGGGUGUUUGAACAUUAUGGUGUGAAUGGAACUAGAGGAACACCUGGAACAACUAAGCAAACGAUCAGCUAACAACUCUUAUGGAGAAUGAAUGCAUAGAAGGCAAAACUAGAUUUCUGUCUCAAGUAUCUAAGUUUCUAGUUGUUCAGGGAAGGUUGGGAAGAAAAUAGAAAAGUUAAGGAUUAUGCUGGCUGCCAAAGAUACUGAGAUAGUGCAUCUGAAGUUGCAGAAUCAGAAGUUGUCUUCUGAGGGACCAGGUACCACUGAUGAGCUUGCAGCUGAAAAUGCGAAACUCCAGGCACAAGUGGCAGAACUGACUGGUGAAAUUCAAGCAUUGAAUGUUGAAGUGAAAGUCUUCACCAAACAGUUGUUAGAUGCCCACAAUGCUGAAAAUGCAAGAAUAGAGAUGUUGCUUAAGUCUCUUUUCCCCCAACCUCCCUCUACCUAAGCCUUGUUAUCCCUGUCCUCUUAUCAAUUAUGUGUCAGUCUUAUAGGUUCUAUAUUGGGUUGGAUCUUGAAGACAAUUUAUUUUAUGUAUCAUUUUAGUAUGAUUGUACUGGUAUUGACCUUUAUUUUGAAAAUAAAUGAAUUCUGCUUGUGUACCUCUUGCCUUUUUUAUUUUAAAACUACUCUUCAUGUUAGUGUUGCCCCAGUGGCCAUGUUUUAAUUAGUCUGUACUUAUUUUUACUCUUAGUUUACUGUUAACCCUUUUUAAAGAUGCCAAAAGGGGGAAUACUGACUUCAUAUGUAAGGACCAGGUUACCAGUUUCCUGGUCUGUGUGCUCAUAUGAUGCAUGCUGAUAAGGUGAAGUAUGGUAAGGCAUAGUGACAUGGGGAAGCAAACAGACAAGGGGAAGCAAACAAAAGUUUUUACUGCAAAUGACAACAAGGGGCCAGGUCCCUCUAUUGAAUAAUGAUAGAGGAAAGCAUGAUGAUCGGGGGAAUAUUCAUCUUCAAGUGGUAAUCAUACUGAUUAAAUGUAAUGAAUGUGCAUUGAUACUCAAAAUUGUAUGGUUGGUUUGUCAUCAUCAAAAAAGGGGAAAAUUCUAUAUGUAGUUUUAAUGAUAAGCAACUAAACUGUAAGGGACCAGGUCCCUAGAUGUGUAAGGUAUAGUACAGCUGACACGUGUUGUCUACAUAGUUUUAUCCUCUUGUGUAAUAAGCUUGUAGGUGAUAUUUUGUACUGAUUAGGACAGCUAGUCCAAUCAUAUUUCAUCUCUAAUCAUCACUCAUCUAUAAAAGAGAAAAGACGCCUCUUCAUCAAAUGUUUUUUUUGCAAAUACAAAGAAAGAGUGUUGAAGAGAGAAAAAGGCAAAAACCCAGUUUACAAUAAUGCUCAAGCAUAACUCAUGUUCUUAGCUUGCUCUAUAUACUGAAGUAGUGAGUGUUAUUGAGUAUAUCCUGAGUUGUAACAAAACUAUUCAGUCUAUAUAUUCAGUCUAUAAGAGUAAUGUUUUAUCGUGUUGUUGCUCGAAAGUUCUUAGGUAGAGUUGCCUAAGCUUGUGGCUGAUUAGAGUUAAUCAGUGUAGAGAGUCCUUGGUAGAGUUUUCAAGAUGAUUCUAUAAUAGAUUUAUUACAAGCGAAAUGAGCCUAGAUGUAGGCUGAAAUCUGGACUGUAAUCAAGAGUUUGAUAAUAGUGAAUUUGAGGUGCUUGUGUGGGCAAGUCGUGAUUUUUUCUUUCCUGGGUUUCCACGUAAGCAUCUUAUGUUUUUACUCUUCCUGCACUGUAUUUUGAUUCCUGUUUGCUUUACUGUAUUUUUUUGUGAUUGACCUUAAGGGACCUGGUCCCUUACUGUGUGGUCUAACCCUCAGGGUUCCAAUACUAGUGUUGCGCCCGCAAUGGCACCUGCUGAGAAAUUAAAAAAAAAAUUAGGUGUGGACUUCAAAUGUUGGUAGUAAAAGAUGUUCUUCUACUUGACGACUCUAAGUCUUCAAAUGUUCAUCCCUGAAAAUGUUUCAAAAUUGCGUGAAGAGACACUAGACAAGGAACGUUUUAUAGUAAUGAAGGCGUGAAAACACCUAGACUUCUUAUGCAAGAAUUAUAUACUGGAUAUCCUUCAAGAUGACUUGUACAAUGUGUACAACGAUAUGAAAACCUCAAAAAAAUUAUGGGAUGCUUUGGAACCAAAAAGAUAUUUAUUACAAAAUUUCUUGACUUUAAGAUCAUCGACAGUAAGACUGUCAUAUCUCAAGUACAAGAACUGCAAGUAAUUAUCCAUGAUCUCCUGGAAGAAGGUAUGAACAUAAUGAAUACCUUACUUGAACAUAUUAAAGUUGUUCUUGAUAAUCACAUAACCUUUGUUGUAGGUUUGAUUGUGAUUGAGGUUUUCCAAGUAACAGUUAUAAUAGAGAAGUUGUGACCUUCUGUAAGGAAUUUAAAAAAUACUUGAAGCAUAAAAUAAAAGAGAUGUCAGUUGAAGACCUCAUUGAGAGGUUACGUAUUGAAGAAGAUAACAAAGCAAUCAACAAGAGGUCAAAAGAAAAUUCCACAAUUAAUGGGGUAAAUAUUAUGGAGGAUAACCCUAACAAAUCAAAGAACUACAAGAAAGCAUCUAGACAACAAAGUAAUCCUCCAAAAAAGAAAUUCAAAGAAAACUGCUUUAAUUGUGGCAUGGCUAGCCAUAAGUCCAUGGAUUGUCAAGCCCCUAAGAAAGGCAAGAAGAAGGAUCAAGCCAACAUGGUUGAAUCGAAAAAUGAACUGGAUGAUCUAUAUGCCAUGAUUUCAGAAUGCAACUUGGUGGAUAAUCCUAGAGAUUGGUGGAUUGAUUCCGAUGCCACCUGUCAUGUAUGUGCCAAUAAGGAGUUGUUUGCUUUGUAUGCUCCAGCUCAAGAUGAAGAGAAGAUUUAUAUGGCUAACUCCACAACAACAAAGGUUGAAGGAACAAGAAAAAUUUUCUUGAAGAUUACAUUAGGCAAGGCGUUGACACUCAACAACGUCCUUCAUAUACCGGAGUUGAGAAAGAACUUAGUUUCUGUAUCACUUCUGACCGAAAAUAGAUUCAAAUGUGUAUUUAUUUUUAUAAGGUUGUAAUUUGCAAAGGAGAAGUGUAUGUAGGAAAAGGUUACCUCACCUAGGGUCUGUUUAAGAUCCAUGUAAUGACUAUUGAGAUCAAUAAAAGUUCAAAUUCUUCUUACUUGAUUGAGUCCAAUGAAUUGUGGCAUGAACAUUUAGGACAUGUCAAUUAAAAAAAAUUCGAAAACUGACUAAUUUAAAAGUUUUGCCUAAUUUUGAGUGAGAUAAAUCAAAGUAUCAAACGUGCGUGGAAUCUAAAUAUGCUAAGCAUCUAUAUAAGUAUGUUGAAAGAAAUUUCAAUCCCUUAGACUUAAUCCACACAGACAUUUGUGAUAUGAAGUCAACAUCAUCUCGUGGUGGAAAAAAAGUAUUUUAUAACAUUUAUUGACGAUUGCACUAGAUACUUUUAUAUUCAUUUGAUAAAUGGUAAGGGUGAAGCAAUAUAUACAUUUAUUCAAUAUAAAACAGAAGUAGAAAAUCAGUUGGAUAAAAAAAUUAAAAUGAUAAGAAGUGAUAGAGGUGGAGAAUAUGAAUCUCCUUUUGCGGAGAUAUAUGUAGAAAAUAAUAUUGUCCAUCAAACUAUUGCCCCUUAUUCACCUUAAUCAAAUAGUAUUGCAGAAAGAAAAAAUCAAACAUUAAAGGAAAUGAUGAAUGUCUUACUCAUAAGUUUGGAUUUAUCGUAAACUUGUAGGGGGGAGCUAUCGUUACAGCUAACUGAAUACUCAAUAGAGUGGUUCAUAGUAAGACACUUUCAAUUCCAUAUGAGAAAUGGAAAAUAAGAAAACCCGGCUUGAGAUAUUUUAAAGUGUGGGGGUUUCUAGUGAAAGUCCAAGUUCCUUGCCUAAAAGGGUUAAAAUAGGACCUAAGACUGUGAACUGCGUGUUCAUUGAAUAUGCUAAAAGCAUUAAAGCAUGUCGAUUUUUGAUUCAUAAAUCCAAACAUCCAGAUAUCAAUAAAAACAUAGUAAUUGAAUCAGAUAAUGCUGAGUUCUUUGAACAUAUUUUCUGUAAAACUGGACAUGAAUAGUCUAGCGGAGGGUCUAAGCGACCUCGAGAUGAACCAAGCAAGAAUGAACUUAAUGAUGAGAAUCAAAGGCGUAGUACACGACAAAUAACGUCAACUUCCUUUGGAUCAAAUUUUGUGUCAUUUCUUAUUGAAAAUGAGCCUCAAACAUUUAAAUAAGCGAUAUCGUCUUUGAAUGCAUCCUUUUGGAAAGAAACAAUCAAUAGUGAAAUUGAUUCAAUCUUGAGCAACCACAUCUAGGAGAUGGUUGAUCUUCCUAUAGGAAAUAAAUCUUUAGGUUCUAAAUGGAUCUUUAAAAGAAAAUGAAAGUUGAUGGUACUAUUGACAAAUACAAGGCAAGACUUAUAGCGAAAGGCUUUAAACAAAAAGAAUGCCUUGAUUAGUUUGUUACAUACUCGCCUAUAACAAGGAUAACGUCCGUUUGGAUGUUAGUUGCCUUAACGGCGGUAUAUGGCCUUGAAAUCCAUCAAAUGAAUGUAAAAACAGCAUUCCUAAAUAAAGAAUUGGGGGAAGAAAUUUACAUGGAACAACCUGAGGAUUUUGUGGUUCCUGGUAAAGAAAAGAAGUGUGCAAACUUGUUAAGUCACUUUAUGGACUAAAAAAAGCACCCAAACAGUGACUUGCAAAGUUUUACCAAACCAUGUUGGCAAAUGGCUUCAAGAUAAAUGAAUGUGAUAAAUGUGUUUACAUUAAAGACACUCCAAAUCAUAAGGUCAUUAUUUGUUUGUAUGUGGAUGAUAUGUUGAUCAUCAAUAGAGACAUUUCUGACAUAAAUACUAUGAAACAGAUGCUGGAGAGCAAGUUAGAUAUGAAAGAACUUGGAGUUACAGAUGUAAUCCUAGGAAUAAGAAUCCAUAAAACUCCACAAGGAUUGGCGUUGUCACAGACUCAUUACAUUGAAAAGAUACUUGACAAUUCAAGUAUUUGAAUUUUGAUAUUAUCAAGACUCCAUUAGACGUGAGCUUUGCACUUCAAAGGAAUGAAGAUAAAAGUGACUCACAGUUAGACUAUGCAAGAGUGUUGGAAAAUUUGAUGUAUAUCAUGAACUAUACGCGACCAGAUAUAGCAUAUGUUAUUAGUAAAUUGAGUCGGUACAUGAGUAAUCCCAAUCAACCUCAUUGGAUGGCAAUGAAAAGAGUUUUGGGGUAUCUAAAACAUACUCAAGACUAUGUUUUGCAUUAUAAUAAAUAUACAGCGGUAAUUGAAGGAUAUAGUGAUGCAAAUUGAAUCACCGGAUCAAAUGAAGUAAAAUCCAUAAGUGGAUAUGUAUUUACUUUAGGUGGAGAAGCACUCUCUUGAAAAUAUCCAAACAAACAUAAAUUGCCCGCUCUAUAAUAAAAUAUAAUUUUAUUGCGUUAGAUAAAACCGGUGAAGAAGCUGAAUCCCUCUAAAAUUUUUUGAAAGAUAUUCCUUAUUGGCCAAAACCUUUGGCACCCGUAUGUAUACACUGUGACAGUCAAGCGGCAAUAGGUAGUGAAGGGAGCAUGAUGUACAACGGUAAAUCUCGUCAUAUAAGAUGGAGAUAUAUUACCCUUAGAGAACUACUCUCUAGUGGAAUUAUUGAUGUUGACUAUGUGAAGUCAAAUGAUAAUAUGUCAUAUUCACUUACAAAAGACCUAUCUAGAAAAGGAGUUGAGAGAUCAUCGAAGAAAAUAAGUUACGGCCUAAGACAAGUCAGCAUGACGGUAACUCUACCUAGAAAACUAGAGAUCCAAAGAUCUAAGUUCAAGGAGAUCAAACAAAGUUGUGACUGAUGGUUCAAUAUUGUCAAUAUACUCAAUCCAUUCUCAUGAUGAAGACAAUAUUUAGAGCACAAGGAUAAGACUUAUGGUUUGAAGCUUUUCAGUGGUUUCUAAGUUUGGCAGGUUUGACCAAAUAGUUUGAUCUAUAAGAUUAAAUAUUUAGGAAUCACCUAUGUAAGGAUGAAGUGGAAGCUGCUUCAAGGAGAAUGUUAGUAAAGGCCUAUUCUUUACGCUCUCAUGAAAUCAGGACGUAUUCAUGGCUGAAACGAAUAAAACGUGAGAACCAUAAAUGGUAAAAGGUUGACUGUGUGACUUGUGUUGUCUAAGUGUACAUUAAAGUUCGACGGUUCAAAGAUAUCAAAUCUACCGAUUGACCGAGUGCAUCCGAUGCAUGUUCACUAAGGAAAGUUCAAAAGGAAACUACUUAUCCAGAUGCAAUUAGUCUUUUCUUAUUGAUCACACACUUAUUCAUAAUUUUUUUUUUAUUAAAAUAGUCAUUCCCCAUUCAUUGGGGGGGGGGGGGGUUUAAAAGGUAUGAAUGCAAAAUGAAUAGGUGUUUUUUUUUCGGAAAGACACCAAGAGAAAGGAUGCAAUUUGAAUACGCAACUUUUCAAAUUGAAUUGGUUAUGACCUUUUCAAAAGGUUGUGACUUUAUCGAAGAGUUCCACCUUUUUCGAAGUGUUGCACCUUUAUGAAGGGGUGCAUCUUUUUGAACCAUUGCUUCUCUUCAUGAAGCAACACCUUGAUGGCUAUAAAUACCUGAAUUUUUUCCUCAGGUAAAGACAUAAUUUUGAGUUGAAAAACAAUCUUCUUCUUCAAAAAACUCUCGUGUGAUCAUCAAAUCGUUGAGUGUGUUUGAAGUUUCUGAAACUUGAGUUACUACUAUUUUCAGAAAGAGAAUCCUUUUAUCAUGGGAAGAAAGAUUCCAUAACCUCAGGUAUUUGAGGAGAAUAAAUUCCUAACCAUGCAUUCGGUGGACUUGAUUCUAUAAUUUUCUGUUUCAUCUUCUUUUUCUUAAAGUUGAUAAACACUUCAUUUUGAUAGUUCAUUUGAUUAUUAAUUUGAACUCGUGAUUGAAGUUGUUGGAAUUUCAUUGUAGCUCUUGAAAUAGUUCUUGAACUUAGUGUUAAAGUCCGUAUUAAAAUAUACAGAAUUUUGUACCUGAAAUAACAAUAGUUAGUUGUGGUUAUUGUUAUUCUCAAAUCUUGUAAUUUGUAAUUUAUUUUAAGUUUGUGAGCUUGGUUAAGGGGCAAGUUCAAAAUCAUUGAAAGAGAAAACAAUCGAGGCUGAGAAAUAUGCUCUCUAGGAGGCUCAAAUACGUUCUUAUAAUUUGCGAUGUAUUGUGAGUUCAUGAGCUUGGUUAAGGGUCAAGUUCAAAACCAUUGAAAGAGAAAGCAACCGACGCUGAGAGACAUGCUCUCCAGAAAGCUCAAACACGUGAACAUUUUUUAUUGCACAUUCCUGAUGCAUAAUUAUAUAUUAUAAAUACAUGCUUACACAAUAUUGAUACAUUACGUAACUAUUUAUAUUACGUAUAUGUAUGUAUAAACACAAUAUGUGGAUGUAUAUACAUCUCUAAUACAUAGAUAUACAUCAUGAUUAUACACUAUUUGUAUAGUAUAAAUGUGUUGCAUAACUAUUUGUACAUCAUAUAUACGGGUUUAUACACUAUUUAUACAACAUCAAUACACUUAUUAUUUAUACAACUAGUUUAGGUGUACGCGCUUCGCGCGUGUACCUCACUUUAAUGAGUUUAAACUUUACACGAGAUAAGGUAUUUGUUUAAAUAAUAAAGAUAUAUACAAUAGUAAAAUUCAAUAUCUUUUGGGCGUGUAAAGAUGGAGAAUUUAUUUAAUUAGUUAUAUAGCAAUUGUAAAUAUCUAAGAUGCAAAAUAGGCAGGUGAAAUACAUUGCUAACCCCUUAAAUUACGAUUGAUGUCUCAGUAAGCAAAUGAUUAGUGCUUGAUAAUUUAUAAAGUUGCGUAAUUUGACUUGGUUCCAUCCUAGAAGUGCAAAAAUUGACCUGCAGAUUUCAUACCACUUCAAUCCCUCUUUUUGAUCAAAUAGUCGGUAUCUCUUUUCUACCGCUCCAAAUAUAGUUCUUCUUCUAAAUCACCUUCGAUUGUUUUAGCUCCUGGAUUAUUCUACAUACCUUGAUAACCUACGUCACAGUAAGCAAAGAAUAUUGCUGCCAAAAUAUAACUUAAAUAAAAUUAAAAAUUCUUGUCUAUUUAAGGUAAAAUUAUAAUUGAUUUAGAAGUAUUAAAUAAUAUAAUUUCUUACCUAGAUUAAAUAGAGGUUUUAUUUAAUUUUAAAGUACUAAAGAGUAAAUAAUAAUUGAAUAAUUAUUUAAGAAAAAUAGUGAAAAGACGAUUUUGUCAAUUGCACAGUUUUUUAUGAAGGGCAAAAAGUUCAAAUCACUUUUCUAAGGAUCUUCACACUUUUAAUAUACUAGUUUAGGUGUACGCGUCUCGUGCGUGUACCUCACUUUAUUAAGUUCAACCGUUACACUAAGUAGGAUAUUUUUCUAAAUAACAAAGAUAUAUACAAUAAUUAAAUUCAACAUCUUUUGAAGAAUUUAUUUAAUUAAACCUAACAUUUUACUAAAAAAAUUUGGCAAAACCGAUCGACAUUCAUCUACCAUCUGUAAACUGCAACAAAACAAUACGAUGAUAGAGACAUCAAAACAAUAUAAUUACACAAAAAAAAUUCAAAGUCGUUUGACACUCAUUUACCAUCUGUAAACUAUAACAAAAUAAUACAAUAAUAUAAAUAUCAAAAUAAUAUAACUAAACUUAACCUUUACACACAAAAAAAAUCACAAAAUAGAGAUAUAAAAAUAAUAUAAUUAAACCUAACUUUUACUUGUGAAAUUGGAGUGUAUCGUAGUAACUUUGAUCAUAAUUUGAAGAGAUACUGAAUACUUAUGUAAUAUAUAUCAUAUAGUAUCUAUGUAUCCUUCAAAACAUUGAAUAAUUUAAGGAAAAUGGUACUAUAUUAAUAAGAGGGUGUUUGACUAAUUUUAUUAGAAGUUGAUCAACCAACUUAUAAUAAUUUUUAGCGUAUUUACUAUAAUUUGGUAAACACUAGAAUGCUUAUAAGCCAAAAAUCAGCGAAGAGGUGCAUCUCAAUAUUUAUAGAGGAAAGAGGUACAUCUCAAUAUUUACGGAAAUAUUUUUUAUUUUAGUAGUAUUUUUCUAAUUGAUCAGUACAAAGAAAAAUAUUACUUGAUUCUCAUUCCAUAUAUUUUAGAAGUCCCAUAUAUUUUAGGAGUUUAGUUAAUAAAAUAAAAAUAAUUAAAUAAUAAAUUAAAAAAAAUAGUGAAAAGACAGUUUUGUCUAAAGAACGAUCUUUUAAUAAAGGACAAAAAAUUCAAAUCACUUUUUUAAGGUCUUCACACUUUUAAUAUAUUAUAAAUAUAGAUUAGAGACUAUAGAUAUAGAUUAUAGAUUAUAGAUAUUGAUACAUUACACUAUAUUACUUAUACAAUAUCGAUAUAUUACAGACACUACAUAACUAUUUGUACAUCAUGUAUACAUAUUUAUAUACCAUUUACACAAUAAUGAUACAUAUAAAAAAAGUCAUACAGAAAAAGUUUGAAAGAAAAAUGAAAAGUUUUUUUAUAAAGAAAAAUGCAGCAAAAAUAUAAUAAUUUAUUUAAGUAAUAAUGAUCAUUUGAAGUAAUAAACAAAACCUUAACUAUUUAAUGUAUAAGUGAAAUUUUCCCGUGGAACCGACUAAAACCUGUAGCAGGGAUUUAAGUUAGAGCAAAAUAAUAAGAAGAAUCUGACAUAAUCAUAAAAAUGCAUACGAGCUACGAGCAACAGUGAAGAAAAAUGUUACAGAAAAUUAGCUGUGUGUUCAAUGGGUCCCCUCAUUGUGAACUGGUAAAAAUAUCCUAACAUACAAAAAAAUAAACAAAGCAGCUAACCAAAUAUAUGGGUCAAGAGAAGAGAAGUCCGUUGAGUGUCUAAUGAUUACUUAUAUUUUCAUAAAACAAAUAUGCACCAGAUAUAUAGCAUAAAUAUAAAUGAAUAACAAGAAAAACAUUGCAGUAAGAAGAUAAAGGAUAAACAAAAUAUAUAAGGAAUUUUGUACUUCACAGCAAACCAAUAUUACCAAGUUAAACUAGGAACAUCCUCCCUGCAAACGAUCAAAAUCUUUAAACAAUACAGCCUGCUCAAAAGAUUUAAUCAUUGUACCCUUUUCUCCCUCAAAGUUAAGAGUACCAUUAAGAAUAUUAACUGUAUAAUCAAAAAUUGUGUCUUCUUUUCCAAUUGUGACACUUCUGUGCCCAAUGUCUUCAAGAACAUUAAUGGCCUGCGUUUAUCCCUCAAUCACUCUUGUUUUGUUCGGCUGCCUGAUGAAUCCCCGUCUUGAUUUUUCCCUAACUGCUCUACGCUAGCUUUGGCCUCUGCCAGGAAUUUAGGAUCAGGCUCAUGUUUAUCAGCAGGUUCUCUCAUUGCCAGACAAAUAUAAAAUGCAAUAACCACAUUGACCGAUAUGACAGCAACGAAUCCACUCACUAAUGUCAUAGAAUGGGGAGACAUAUCGGUCACACCUGUUCCAAAUUGACAGUGAUUAGAGUAAAAAUCAUAAAUUCAUAAUCUGCUUGACAACAAGGAACAAAAUAUCAGUUGCAGAAAGCAUAAUGAGUACGAUAUCUGAUGAAGAUAUCAGUACUUCUAGAUUUUUUAAAAGCAGAAAAUAGUAAUCUUAAUGCUAAUAGUAGCAAGAAGAACAAGAAAAGAACAUUGUCGCCAGCACCUUGAAAUGCAUAUUGGGGGAAUAUCCCUUAGCCGUAAUAUAGUUGUGAUAACGAUGACACUAUUUCAUAGCUUGACUCAGACCUCAUACUAUCUAUGACAUUUAGGUGAAUCUCUCUAGAAAAUGCAUGAAGCAUUAAAUCUUUUCUCCAUUCUUUCAUAUUGGUGAAAAUAAUUCAUUACAUUCAUAGGGCCUGCCUUGUGGCUGUUUGAUACGAACCUAGGGACCAUUGAUUGAAUCCGAGCCUCCUUAAAAUGUGGCACAUGAACCGGGCCAAGAAGUUAGUACAAUUGUCCUCAAAUCACUACAGUGAAGACUUGGUAGAUGCUUAGAAUGAAGGCAUCAAGGUAGAUUAUUUUGAUUAUUGGUGAAUAUUGAAUUACUUCUCCUGUGAGAUUUUGAGGGUUUUGUUAAAGCUUUUGUUGGUGAUUUAGCUUUGAGGUGAAUAGAAUUUCCCUCUUGGUUAUCGCAGAGAUAAGGUGAUUGGUAGGAUUGUAGCGAUUGAGGUUUUUGGGUUUAACACGCCCCUUAAUUGCUUUCAAUGACCUAUUCGUGCCUAUCUUUCUAUCCUUUAUUUUAUGUCUUUUCAUUUUCGCAUUUUCUUUUAGUUCGUAAGCAGAAUUGUAUCAUCUGGUAUCAAAAUCGAGCUUAGAUUCGUCUCUACGAUUCUAGUCUUGGGCUCAUUCUUACAAACAAAAAAAUUGAGUCAAAGACGCAUUUGAGAAAAUCCCCCCAACAAAAAUAUUUUGUUGGUUUGAGUCUUGUUUGAGUUUCCGAUACUAGAAUCGUGUUUUUUAGUAUCUAUUGUGUCUAGAUUUAAGAUUUUGUUUGAUUUGGUUGAGUUUUGAGGGAUCCACCAUUGUUGGAGGUGGAACUUGAAAACCAAUCAAGCGGGUUUGUCAAUCUAGGUUGAUUUGAGGGUUGAUCUAUAUUGGGGUUUGUUCUCCUUCUCAUAUGGAGUUCAAAUCUGAAAUUUGAGCUAACACAGUGGAAUUUGGUGCUCUUCAUGACUUGAAGAAAAAUUACAAAUGGGUCUUCAAAUCAAAAGAAAUUGGAGUGAAAUUGAGGGUUGAAAGGCGUUGGGGUUUGUUCCCCAUAUCAAAAGGAGUUCGGAUCUCAAAUUUGGCGUGAUUCCGAGUUAAAAAGAUCGAGUUGGAAUUUUGGGAUCUGCAUUUUUGUUGUUGGUGUUUUUGAGGAAUCUUCAUAUCUUCAACGGUAAGAAUAAAGAAAAAGGUGUUUCGAUCCAAAAGGAAAGGAAAAGGAAAGUGCUUGGGAGUAGUACAAAAAGGAAAUAUACCAAAAGGGGGUAAAGGACAAGGAAAGAAGUGCAAGGGGACAACAAGAAGGCUGAAAAUUCGGAGGAAAGAGGAAGCACACUGCCAAGUUUGGUGCACCCCCUCCCCCAAUCGCAAAAAUCUUUAGCUACACACCAAAGUGAACCUUCUCAUCGCCCAAGUGAGACUGCCCACUUUCGCAGCAAAGCCCCCUUCGCCAAACUAUGCCCCAUCGCCAAACACCACCCUCUGUCGCCAAACUCUCUCAACACCUACUGUCCCUUUUGGCGAGGUCAAGCACCAGUUCUGCCUCAUCGCCAAACUCCCUUCUCCCAAUGCCAAAGUGCACUUGUGCACACCAAAGUUGGGUGAUUCAAAGUGAUUUGAUUCUUUAAUCACUUUUCUUGGUUUUUAAACUUAAUCACCAACUAGUAAUUGACCUUUUACUUGGUUGUUGGUUAGUUUCUUGAGUCCUUUUCUUUGUGUGCUUCUCUCUUUUAGCUUCAUAGUUAAUUUUUUAAUUCUAGUCCUUUUAGAUAUAUUGAGUCGUCCGUUCAUGAUUGAACAAGAAACUACUCCGACCACGAGUGGCAAAUUGACACUUCGCUUGCUGUCGGGUAUAAGCAAUCCUCAACAUUAGUUGCGCCAAUUGGUAAGGUAAUUCAAAGGUGAGAGAUAGCGAGUGUUGGUGAGGAGCUUUUACUACAAACCUCGUUUGCUCGUUUUGUACGUACCAUACAAAGGAGUUUUAAGACAAGUUGCCCAAACUCUUCAAAAAUGACUACGGGUGAGUGUCGGAAAUAGUGUAUUUUCAAAGGAUACGACAUGGGUGAGGCAACAUUUUGGAUAGUCCAAGCAACUUAGGUUUUAAGGUAUGUCGUCAAUAGCUUUGGAUCCUUGUGAUUAUGAUGUGGUGAUGUGGAAGACUAUGUUUGUAGCAACCACGGCUAUGAGUAUAAUAAUGAUGUGUGAUUAUAGAGGCUAUGAAAAUAGUUAUGAUCAAGUAUCGAGUGGAGAUGAGAGCUACUAUUCCGAAGGCGAACAUGAGGAGAACAGUGAACACAGCUCUUAUGGUGAG